rnacentral:rRNA from 1 species
GUGCGGAAUAUUGGUCAAUGGGCGAAAGCCUGAACCAGCCAAGUCGCGUGAAGGAAGAAGGAUCUAUGGUUCGUAAACUUCUUUUGCAGGGGAAUAAAGUGCAGGACGUGUUCUGUUUUGUAUGUACCCUGAGAAUAAGGAUCGGCUAACUCCGUGCCAGCAGCCGCGGUAAUACGGAGGAUCCGAGCGUUAUCCGGAUUUAUUGGGUUUAAAGGGUGCGUAGGUGGUUUGAUAAGUCAGCGGUGAAAGUUUGCAGCUUAACUGUAAAAAUGCCGUUGAAACUGUCGGACUUGAGUGUAAAUGAGGUAGGCGGAAUGCGUGGUGUAGCGGUGAAAUGCAUAGAUAUCACGCAGAACUCCGAUUGCGAAGGCAGCUUACUAAGCUACAACUGACACUGAAGCACGAAAGCGUGGGGAUCAAACAGGAUUAGAAACCCGUGUAGUCC